rnacentral:rRNA from 1 species
CGCGUAGGUGGCGGGACAAGCGUGCGGUGAAAGCUUGGGGCUCAACCCCGAGUCGGCCGUGCGAACUGUUUUGCUUGAGCACUGUAGAGGCAGGCGGAAUUCCGGGUGUAGCGGUGGAAUGCGUAGAGAUCCGGAAGAACACCGGUGGCGAAGGCGGCCUGCUGGGCAGUAGCUGACACUGAGGCGCGACAGCGUGGGGAGCAAACAGGAUUAGAUACCCUGGUAGUCCACGCCGUAAACGAUGGGCACUAGGCGCUUGGGGGAGCGACCCCCCGAGGGCCGGCGCUAACGCAUUAAGUGCCCCGCCUGGGGAGUACGGCCGCAAGGCUGAA